GAAAUGGAUAUGGCCCGCGACACGGCUGUCCGAAAUGGAUAUGGCCCGCAGGCCGAAAAAGGUUGGGCAUCACUGUUGUAAGGUAUAAAAAGAAAAUGUAACAAUAUUUAAAAAUGCACAACAGCUUAAAAACAUUGAGGUUUGAUUCUACAAUAGGAAAGCUUAACUCUGUAUGACAUUACUUUUGUAUGCCAUUUAGAAGGUAGCUUGGUACACAUUUUUUUUUCCUAGAGUUUAAAUAGUUUUCGUAUGCUUUCAGUUUUGUUGACCUCCUUCUGUGCAUGAUGAUAUUUGUAUGUAAAUAUAUCUGAAAUGGAAGGGUGGUGAUUCCUUAGGAUUGUGGAAUUGGGAACAUAUGUGUUAAUCAUAUAUCGACAACGACAAUGUCGACGUGGUUCUGCAAUCGAAGGGCCAAGUGGCGGCGGAAGAGAAGAGCUACCUAUGCCGCCAGAAAAAACUCAAAAUAAGAAUUAGAAGUUGGCCCGCGAAACAGGAUCGCUUUCUUAUUCAAUAUAUAUAUAUAUUGAACGUACGUAUAUUUGUAUUCAAAAGACGAAAAGAAUCGCCAUUUUAUAUGAAUGUUAUAAUUAUGCAGCUAAUAUUCUUUGGUUUCUAUCCUGCCAAAUCCCACCUAUCCUUCGUUAUAAAAAUAUAUAAAUAUUCAUUAUCAUCAUCAUCACUACUGGUAUCUUUUCAGGAUGCAGUUCAUAUGGAGAGUGUUUCGUUACGCAGCCAAAUGGGCAUUGACAUGGCUGGAGCUCCAGUCACCAGAGCAGGAGAAUUCACGCCCACCUCCUAGACACAUUAAUUAAGUCUUUUUUAAAUUAUUUGCAGAUAAACAUAGAUGAGCCAUCUCCCGGGGGUAGUGAUCCUCCCCUCCCCAAGGGGGGAAAAAGAAUCAAAAGAAGGAUGAAAUCAAACACUUUUUUAAGUUGAAGAAAUCUCUCAUCAACUGUCUGCCUGUGGAGAUAGGGAUCUCUGUUUUCUGCUUUCUUUGUGACAGUUUUAUUUUGGUAGUCUUCUUUUCUACUCUGCUUGUCUUCCAUAAAUCAUUCGUGUGUUAUAUGGGUGUUCUUAUAAUAGUAGGUUGAAAUAUGCACAUGUAUAAUGUCUUCUUUUUUUUAAAAGUUUGAAGUACAAGCCAAGUGCACAAUUUUUUCUUUAGGAUCAGGUUAAGUUAAUUUAAUGUACCCCCACACACAUAUGCAUGCCUAGACACAUUAAUUAAGUCUUUUUUUAAUUAUUUGCAGACCGAUACCAACGAGCCACAUGAAGCCAGAAGGCGCCGUCGACUGCGGCCAUGGCAGAUACAACUGCUGGAUGUUAGCUACAAGAAGUCGCAAUACCCAUCGCAUGUCACAGUGGUGACAUUAAGUCGCAGAACGCACGUCAAAGUGCAGAAGAUUUACGUAAGCACAGUAAACAGUUAUAAUACCUAGUCCACUAUUAAACAGUCCUGACUUCAGAGUUUCUGUAAUAUGAUUUUUUUUACAUGGUGGGGUUGUUAGCCCUACCACAACCUAUUUUACCUCUAGGUGAGGUGUCCACCUUAGUCGCCUCUUACUGGCUGGAUGGCAGGGACCCUAUUCUUACAAUGCUUGCUAGGCAAGCAUACCCCAGGGUCCCACAGGGAGCCUGACCAGAGACACGUAUUAACAUUGUUGUUCUUCCUUCCAGAGAUGGUAUAUCAAUAGGCGCGCUCAGCAGCGUCGUGCGCAACAUCGCCCUCAACGUCGCCGUCGCCCUCAUCAGCGCCGUCGCCCACCUCGGCCUUGAGAACCACCAGCCAGAAGAAGGAGAGCAAGAAGAAUGAAACCGUGGCAAAAGAAGCUUUUGGAAAAGAGUUUCAAUGCAACCAAAUUUCCAUCGAUUUCAACAUUAAAGAAGCUUUCCAGAAGGACAAGACUAUCCACAAAACGGAUCGAGAGGUGGUUUGCGAACAAGCGGGCACAGGUACGGCGCCGACAGAGGCAAUAAGGAUGCAGUUCAUAUGGAGAGUGUUUCGUUACGCAGCCAAAUGGGCAUUGACAUGGCUGGAGCUCCAGUCACCAGAGCAGGAGAAUUCACGCCCACCUCCUAGACACAUUAAUUAAGUCUUUUUUAAAUUAUUUGCAGAUAAACAUAGAUGAGCCAUCUCCCGGGGGUAGUGAU